rnacentral:rRNA from 1 species
CCUACGGGUGGCAGCAGUGAGGAAUAUUGGUCAAUGGACGAGAGUCUGAACCAGCCAAGUAGCGUGCAGGAUGACUGCCCUAUGGGUUGUAAACUUCUUUUAUAAAGGAAUAAAACGCGGCACGUGUGCCUUUUUGCAUGUACCUUAUGAAUAAGGACCGGCUAACUCCGUGCCAGCAGCCGCGGUAAUACGGAGGAUCCGAGCGUUAUCCGGAUUUAUUGGGUUUAAAGGGAGCGUAGAUGGGUUGUUAAGUCAGCUGUGAAAGUCUGCGGCUCAACCGUAAAAUUGCAAGUGGUACUGGCAGGCUUGAGUGCAGGUGAGGUAGGCGGAAUUCGUGGUGUGGCGGUGAAAUGCUUAGAUAUCACGAAGAACCCCGAUUGCGAAGGCAGCAUACGAAAGUGUGACUGACAUUGAUGCUCGAAGGUGCGGGUAUCAAACAGGAUUAGAUACCCGAGUAGUC